AUCCGAUAAUGGCAAACCCAGAGAAAUCUGGGGGCGCAAAGCUACAGGGGCUAAAGUCAUCGACCAUGCCAGCCAGUUGCCGAA
rnacentral:ncRNA from 1 species